GAAUGCUGACAUAAGUAACGAUAAAGCGGGUGAAAAGCCCGCUCGCCGGAAGACCAAGGGUUCCUGUCCAACGUUAAUCGGGGCAGGGUGAGUCGACCCCUAAGGCGAGGCCGAAAGGCGUAGUCGAUGGGAAACGGGUUAAUAUUCCCGUACUUGGUGUUACUGCGAAGGGGGGACGGAGAAGGCUAUGUUGGCCGGGCGACGGUUGUCCCGGUUUAAGCGUGUAGGUGUGUGUUCCAGGUAAAUCCGGUUCACUUUAACACUGAGGCGUGAUGACGAGGCACUACGGUGCUGAAGCAACAAAUGCCCUGCUUCCAGGAAAAGCCUCUAAGCAUCAGGUAACAUCAAAUCGUACCCCAAACCGACACAGGUGGUCAGGUAGAGAAUACCAAGGCGCUUGAGAGAACUCGGGUGAAGGAACUAGGCAAAAUGGUGCCGUAACUUCGGGAGAAGGCACGCUGACACGUAGGUGAAGUGAUUUACUCAUGGAGCUGAAGUCAGUCGAAGAUACCAGCUGGCUGCAACUGUUUAUUAAAAACACAGCACUGUGCAAACACGAAAGUGGACGUAUACGGUGUGACGCCUGCCCGGUGCCGGAAGGUUAAUUGAUGGGGUCAGCGCAAGCGAAGCUCCUGAUCGAAGCCCCGGUAAACGGCGGCCGUAACUAUAACGGUCCUAAGGUAGCGAAAUUCCUUGUCGGGUAAGUUCCGACCUGCACGAAUGGCGUAAUGAUGGCCAGGCUGUCUCCACCCGAGACUCAGUGAAAUUGAACUCGCUGUGAAGAUGCAGUGUACCCGCGGCAAGACGGAAAGACCCCGUGAACCUUUACUAUAGCUUGACACUGAACAUUGAGCCUUGAUGUGUAGGAUAGGUGGGAGGCUUUGAAGCGUGGACGCCAGUCUGCGUGGAGCCGACCUUGAAAUACCACCCUUUAAUGUUUGAUGUUCUAACGUGGACCCGUAAUCCGGGUUGCGGACAGUGUCUGGUGGGUAGUUUGACUGGGGCGGUCUCCUCCUAAAGAGUAACGGAGGAGCACGAAGGUUGGCUAAUCCUGGUCGGACAUCAGGAGGUUAGUGCAAUGGCAUAAGCCAGCUUGACUGCGAGCGUGACGGCGCGAGCAGGUGCGAAAGCAGGUCAUAGUGAUCCGGUGGUUCUGAAUGGAAGGGCCAUCGCUCAACGGAUAAAAGGUACUCCGGGGAUAACAGGCUGAUACCGCCCAAGAGUUCAUAUCGACGGCGGUGUUUGGCACCUCGAUGUCGGCUCAUCACAUCCUGGGGCUGAAGUAGGUCCCAAGGGUAUGGCUGUUCGCCAUUUAAAGUGGUACGCGAGCUGGGUUUAGAACGUCGUGAGACAGUUCGGUCCCUAUCUGCCGUGGGCGCUGGAGAACUGAGGGGGGCUGCUCCUAGUACGAGAGGACCGGAGUGGACGCAUCACUGGUGUUCGGGUUGUCAUGCCAAUGGCACUGCCCGGUAGCUAAAUGCGGAAGAGAUAAGUGCUGAAAGCAUCUAAGCACGAAACUUGCCCCGAG
rnacentral:rRNA from 1 species